AUAAUAUAUCCAGGAAAUAGAAGGGGAUUGUGCUGCACUGAUGGAUUCCAUGGUACCCUGAAGAUCCAGAAAACAGAGUUUGCCUGAAUCACCAAUUUCAUCCUGAUGCUUGAUGAUCCAAAGAAAGACUUCACCCUCUUCCAGUCUAGAGCAGGACGGGUAGGGACUAUAAAAAUGUUGACACCUCCCCUCCACCCCAUCACUGAUCUGUGCACUCUAACAGUGGUAAACUUGAGAACAUCCUUAAUUCUUUGGUUUUGGAAAAUUUGGAACAAAGUGACUGAACAAAAUAGCUGCAGCGCUUUGAAAUGAAUCAUCAUAUAACCUCAUUCCACAGUGUCCAGUUAGAGCUGGGUGAAAUUUUUUUGGUAAAUUGUAAAUUCAAUGAAAAAUGUUUUUUCAGGGCACCUAAACUAAGUGAAUUUGGGUCAAAUUAGGCUAAGUUUCAGCCGAAAACAAUGUAGCUUGUUCAGAGUGGAGCUGCAUACUAAUUUAAACUAUCACAAUUAUAUUAUAACAGCCUUACAUUUGUCAUAUUGGCUGCCUAUUAAGGAGCAGAAUGGUUUAAAGCGAACACUCAUCAACUUAAAAUAAUUACAUUACUGUCUGAGUAAUACCCCAAAUUACUAUAAAUGAAAAAUUUGAGAAAAUAAAAUUUCCCAUUUUUAGUUUUACUUUGUGUAUUUACACUAAAAUAUUGUCAACGUUUAGUUUCACUUUUUCCUCUACAUAAAAGAAUAGUUUCUCCUGUAUGUGUGGGAUUUUCUACACAGCAAUAGAGGAGAUAAAAACAUUUUAAAGACAGGAAAAUUAUAAAAGCACAGAAAUGGCAGUUGUCUUCAUGGGCAGAUGUGAUGCCUAAGGAUAUUUGCAACUGACAUUUGAAAUUUACUAGUCAGUGUCUCUUUAAAUCGGCUCUACUGGUUUUUGAAGGCCUUAAGGAUGAUGGCUCUGAAUACAUUUUGAUUCCAUAUCUUGAACUUUGUACUAUGAGGCAGAGUGCUUUUACAUACUACUCACAACACAGAUCUUAUCACAUCCAAGAUCAGCAGUUGAUUAUGCUUCAGCUGUGGUGAGCCCCCCCAUGCAGCAUAGAACUCUUUCCAUCCCUUCUCAUUUUAUUAAGAACACCUUUGCUUUUCUAGUUUCAGACCAUUCAUGUUGCCCAACACAUACUAUCUUGUCUUUCAGUCUUUCCUUUAAAAUUAGAUGCCCUCCCUUCAUUGCUUCUAUUUUAAGAGGGCAGUAUUUUAUUGCUUAAAGAGACACCAACUUUUUAAAAAACCCCAUAACACUGUCAGCAAUUUUAUUGCAAUUCAAUGCUUUGGCUGCUGUAUCUGGGGAGGGAGGAGUGAUGAGUACUAUAUAAAAUAUAAUUAUUCCAUAACAAGUAUGGCCACCUUCAAGAAAAAGCUAGACAUCAAGAAGCUCUAUGGAUAAACUCUCUCUCAGAUUAAAAUCCUUCAUAAUUUAAUAUAUUAAUUAGAUGCAUCCCUCAGGCUUGGCAGUUAAAUGUGACUCUCACUGCUGGAAAGGUUUUGCACAAUUGAUCCAUUAUUAGAAAAACUGUAUUUAUCGUUGCCAGUUUGAUCUAGCUGUUAAAAACUGAUUAUUGCUUUGUAAAGAAAAAAAUAUUAAAAAUAAAUCGACGCAUUGUAACUCAGGAAGUGUAUAAUUUUUUUUGAAGGAUUAGCACUCUUUCAUUAAGAGAGGAGACAAAAUAAUUCAUAUUUGAAUUUUUGCUCUAUUUAAGAUAUCAGAAACUGGAAGACAAAUUAACAUUUUGAAUCCAAGAACAUAAAAGUACAAUACAUUGAAAGCUACAAUUUAACCAGAGAGUGAUGGAAAAAAAGGGAUAUAAACCAGAUUUUCUUCAAACUGCAGAAGAUGACAGAUAGGUUAAAACAUCCACCUUCCAUACUAAUGGCAAAACAAUUCCCCCUCCCACCCCAGAAAAUAAAAAUAAAAA